ensembl:lncRNA
AUGAACACUGUUUAAAGAAUUAGAGCAAUCUAAUUGCUCUAAUUGCAGGACGAUAUCUUAAAAACCAUCUCAACAGGCUCUGUGUGUACAGAUUAUGAUUUUUCCUGAUGACACAUGCUUCAUGCUCAGAUGUGGGAGAUCACAGGGAAAGCCUGGCUGUGUUUGGGAACCAACGCAUCACUGGCACUUCAGUGUCACUUGACAUGUCCCAGGCCAUGGAGUGACUCCUCUGUGAACCAUCCAGGAUCUGUCCAUCUGCUUCACGUCCUAUUUUAGAAGCUGUGAAUGAAGGCACAAAAACUGAAUUGAAUAAAUGCUCAAACAGAGGCACUCUGCUAACGUUAAUCACAGCAUGCACGUUCAGCUAUCCGUGGUCCCCAGCUAUUUUCCACCAGUUAUCAGUUAAGAGGACAAUAUUACCUACAGGACAUCCCAGCACUCAUUACUGCAAAGUCUGUUCCUGGAAGGAAAAGGACACACUCCCUGGGGAACCAUCACACGACAUGAAGUGGAGUAACAGAACCAGUGAGGCCACAGAAGCAAGUGAGAGAUUUCUGAGACAGCUCAAGGUUUUUAUGGAAAGAAAUGGAAUUAAGGAGCAUGGUGACAAGUCACAGAGCUGGGACUGAGGCCUACUGAAGCUGGAGAGGUAGAGGAGGGAGAAGGAGAUUUUUCAGUACAUCCCUUAUAAUGCCUAAGAGAAAAUACUAAAGAAGCUCAACGUGCUGUCCUGCCUCUUGGCCAAGAGUGUCUGUUCUGUGAUUCCAAGCUGUGGGAUGCUCGGUUUGCAGUCCAACAUCUUCUUGUUUUCUCCUUUGCUUAUCAACAUCCUUAGGUUUCCUGGGCUUCCUCUCUUGAAUCCAGCCCCCAUCUGUAUCUUCAUAUCAUCCUGAAAACAAACACAGCACCAAUCUGAAAGGAAUGUUUGAAAAUCAAGAGCAAAGCUUGUAGAUUUUCAUAAGGAUCUAGAAUGUUUGACCUAUCUUCCUCCCACUUGGUUACUUCUCUCCUUUUAAUAAAUCAAAUAAAACUGUAUGAGCACUGCAUUUCAUCU